ACGCCCAGAAGAGCCGCAGUGAAUAGGCCCAAGCGACUGUUUAUCAAAAACACAGGUCUCUGCUAAACCGUAAGGUGAUGUAUAGGGGCUGACGCCUGCCCGGUGCUGGAAGGUUAAGAGGAGUGGUUAGCUUCUGCGAAGCUACGAAUCGAAGCCCCAGUAAACGGCGGCCGUAACUAUAACGGUCCUAAGGUAGCGAAAUUCCUUGUCGGGUAAGUUCCGACCCGCACGAAAGGCGUAACGAUUUGGGCACUGUCUCAACGAGAGACUCGGUGAAAUCAUAGUACCU
rnacentral:rRNA from 1 species